rnacentral:rRNA from 1 species
AGUGGGUGUAACGUACCUACUAGCCUACGACGGGUACGGGUUGUGAGAGCAAGAGCCCGGAGAUGGAUUCUGAGACACGAAUCCAGGCCCUACGGGGUGCAGCAGGCGCGAAAACUUUACAAUGCUGGCAACAGCGAUAAGGGAACCUCGAGUGCCAGGUUACAAAUCUGGCUGUCGAGAUGCCUAAAAAGCAUUUCAUAGCAAGGGCCGGGCAAGACCGGUGCCAGCCGCCGCGGUAACACCGGCGGCUCGAGUGGUAACCGUUAUUAUUGGGUCUAAAGGGUCUGUAGCCGGCCGGAUAAGUCUCUUGAGAAAUCUGGCAGCUUAACUGUCAGGCUUCCAGGAGAUACUGUCUGGCUCGAGGCCGGGAGAGGUGAGAGGUACUUCAGGGGUAGGGGUGAAAUCUUGUAAUCCUUGAAGGACCACCAGUGGCGAAGGCGUCUCACCAGAACGGACCUGACGGCAAGGGACGAAAGCUAGGGGCACGAACCGGAUUAGAU